rnacentral:tRNA from 1 species
AAGGAGUUGGCUCAGUGGUAGAGUGCUUGCCUUGCAUGCAUGAGGCCCUGGGUUGGAUUCCUCA